rnacentral:lncRNA from 10 species
GGCCUUGGUCUCACCUCUCUUCAGGCUGGAGUGCAGUGGUGCGAUCUCGGCUCACCGCAACCUCCGCCUCCUGGAUUCAAGCUAUUCUCCUGCCUCAGCCUCUCCAGUAGCUGGGACUACAGGCAUGCGCCACCAAGCCCAGCUAAUUUUGUAUUUUUAAUAGAGACGGGGUUUCUCCAUGUUGAUCUAGCUGGUCUCGAACUCCUGAACUCAGGUGAUCUGCCCGCCUCAGCCUCCCAAAGUGCUGGGAUUAGAGACGUGAGCCACCGCGCCCGGCCUAAUAUGUCACAUUUUCAAAUGUACUUAAAUUAUGUUUUUAAACAACA